UAAAGUGCGAAAUGAAGUGCGAUUUGCAUGAAUCUGUGAGUCAUCAUAUCUUUGAACGCAACUUGCGCCAUUAGUUUGGCAUGUCUGUUUGAGAACGGGAUAAAAAAUGCAUCCAAUGCGAGAUGACCGGGUAUACAUGUAUAUUUGGUUGAAACUUGAAACUUUGGUUGAAAUUGUUGGAAACCGUGUGCUAGAGCCUCGUGCUUCUCAUGGAUUCUUAACAACCAAACCACAAAUACAUAUACAUAAACUAAUACGUCUCAAAUCAGGCAAGAUUACCCGCUGAACUUAA
rnacentral:misc_RNA from 1 species